UACGUAGGGUGCAAGCGUUGUCCGGAAUUAUUGGGCGUAAAGAGCUCGUAGGCGGUCUGUCGCGUCUGCUGUGAAAACUCGGGCUUAACCCCGGGCCUGCAGUGGGUACGGGCAGACUAGAGUGCGGUAGGGGAGACUGGAAUUCCUGGUGUAGCGGUGAAAUGCGCAGAUAUCAGGAGGAACACCGGUGGCGAAGGCGGGUCUCUGGGCCGUAACUGACGCUGAGGAGCGAAAGCGUGGGGAGCAAACAGG
rnacentral:rRNA from 1 species